GGCACUGUAGUCAUGGCAACAUGAUAAGAGCAACAUGGAGAUAGACCAAUGGGAAUGAUGAUGGGCAAAGAGCUGCAGUUCUGAUUGAAAAAGAAAAAUGGAAAAAUAAAACAACCACAAUCAGCCGAGUUGAAGACAUUGCUCUGCAUGUACGAAAAUAGAUUUCCCCAAAUGGAUGUGUUGGCCCGAGAGAUGAUAAAUUGUGCUGCCUCCCCUCUGUGCAAAUCAGGAAUGGAAAUAGACGACGCAAGGCCAGAGCAAUGUCAUGGCAAAUGAGCUUGUGCUUCUCAGGCUGCAGGUCAUAAAUAUCUGCUCUGUUACCAGCCCAGUGCCUAGAACCAUCCAAAACCCAAAUGGAGAGACAGACCCCCCUCAAGAUAGAGCAUAGCCAUAGUCACAUCAACAGCACUUCUCAAAGCAUUUUGGACAGAUCAUUGCUGGAGCCUGGUGAAACAAAGUUCUAAGGAGCUGUUGACAUCUUGACCAAAAGUAAUUGAACUCAAAGACCACAGCUUGGUUUCCACUUUUUUUUCUGAUUUGUUUAUAGAAUGGUUGAACUAGGUGCUAUAUCUAACAAACUCACAAAUAUAAAACUGUUCGCAACAUGACUGGCAUCCGCUCCUCUCUUCGCUGCCAAAGAAACAGUUCUUCUCUGGGGUAAUAUUAAGUUGAGGAGGAAACACCUCCCAUCUGGAGCCUUUCCAACAAGUUUUCCAAGGGCGAGCGCCAUGCUUCUGGGCAUCAAGUGGUGAACUCCUCCAAGUGGUACGGCUGUGGAAGCAGACGGGCAAAUCAAUCAACAUCUAUCCACCUGCCAUUAGCUGAGAAUGAGUCACGUGACCUCAGGGCUGAGCCCUCAUCUCUCACCAAUUCCAAGCCCUUCAAGCAACCACGAGUCUCUGAACUAAGUGUUAUUCACUGCAAAGACAAGCUUCUCUAAUUAAGGGCAAAGUGUAGGGCAACACAAGCUGGACGAUGGAGCAGAGAGAAGGAGAGAGAGAUGGAGUCUGUUUCAUGUAGAAAGCCUGAGUGUGGUGUGUAAGACGUCAGAGGCCACAGGAGAGAAACAUACAGUGCCCCUGGGUCACAGGUAGCUCCUUCCUUGACUUCCUGUCAGACUUCCCUCCAUGAUGGCCUGUGUGACCUGAGAAGUGUAGGAAAAGAGAUUGUCACAACAAAGAAAUCAUGACCUCUGCUCCACAAAUAAGCCUGCUGAUUGAAGACUGCCCACCUCCGCUUCUUCCCUGACUCUGGCUACAUCAACUCCUAUUGUAAGAAACAAGCAUGCCCUGCUCUGUGACUACCCCUGUAGUUACAGGCAGCUGUACCCUCUGCUUUGGAAGGCAUCGUCUUUAUAAUUUCAUUCGUGUCUUUCACUAAAAAAGAUUUAUCAUCGGUAAUUUUAAUUGCAAGUUUGUAUGUGUGUUUGUGUGCACAUGUCUUUGUGUAUGCAUGUGCGCGUGUGCAUGAAGUACCUGUAGAGGCCAGAAGAGGGCAUCAGCCACUGAAGUUACAGGUGAUUG
rnacentral:lncRNA from 1 species